GAUGAACGCUAGCUACAGGCUUAACACAUGCAAGUCGAGGGGAAACGGGGGAAUAGCUUGCUAUUCUUUGUCGUCGACCGGCGCACGGGUGAGUAACGCGUAUCCAACCUUCCCAUAACUAAGGAAUACCCCGUAGAAAUGCGGCCUAAUCCCUUAUGGUCUCUUAUGCCUGUCAUGGGAAUAAGAGUAAAGAUUUAUCGGUUAUGGAUGGGGAUGCGUCUGAUUAGCUUGCUGGCGGGGUAACGGCCCACCAGGGCAUCGAUCAGUAGGGGUUCUGAGAGGAAGGUCCCCCACAUUGGAACUGAGACACGGUCCAAACUCCUACGGGAGGCAGCAGUGAGGAAUAUUGGUCAAUGGGCGUAAGCCUGAACCAGCCAAGUAGCGUGCAGGAUGACGGCCCUAUGGGUUGUAAACUGCUUUUUAAGGUGAAUAAAGAGGGGCACGCGUGCCCUGUUGCAUGUAGCCUUGGAAUAAGGACCGGCUAAUU
rnacentral:rRNA from 1 species